GGGGAAGUAGCUCAACGGGUGCCCUUCGGGCGUAGCAGCGGGUGCGGCGGCAACGUCGCGCCAGAUCUUCCGCGCCAUUCCCUCGUUCGAGGUGCUUGCGGGAGCUCCUUCGUUUGGGACGAGCAGGUUGUGGGUUCGAAUCCUACCUUCCCCA
rnacentral:tRNA from 1 species